AUAUAUAUUACUAGACUGAUCAAGACAGGAUGAUGUAUAGACUUGUUAUUGUCAGAAUGUUUUUAUAUAUACGACUUAAAGGUAAUUAUAUGGACGCUAUAUGAUGAAAGGCAGCUUAUCCUAUCUUGAUAAGAUAUUAAGUAUAAUUUUGAUUUUAUAUUGGUGUAUGAACUCAUGUUAGUGUAGGAGAGGACGGGAAGUGGUGUUGGGGUAGAUGACAGUCUAUGACCUAAGUGGUGUUGGGGUAGAUGACAGUCUAUGAUCUAAGUGGUGUUGGGGUAGAUGACAGUCUAUGAUCUAAGUGGUGUUGGGGUAGAUGACAGUCUAUGACCUAAGUGGUGUUGGGGUAGAUGACAGUCUAUGACCUAAGUGGUGUUGGGGUAGAGGACAGCCUAUGACCUAAGUGGUGUUGGAGUAGAUGACAGUCUAUGACCUAAGUGGUGUUGGGGUAGAGGACAGCCUAUGACCUAAGUGGUGUUGGGGUAGAUGACAGUCUAUGACCUAAGUGGUGUUGGGGUAGAGGACAGUCUAUGACCUAAGUGGUGUUGGGGUAGAGGACAGCCUAUGACCUAAGUGGUGUUGGGGUAGAGGACAGUCUAUGACCUAAGUGGCGUUGGGGUAGAGGACAGCCUAUGACCUAAGUGGUGUUGGGGUAGAGGACAGCCUAUGACCUAAGUGGUGUUGGGGUAGAGGACAGCCUAUGACCUAAGUGGUGUUGGGGUAGAGGACAGCCUAUGACCUAAGUGGUGUUGAGGUAGAGGACAGCCUAUGACCUAAGUCAAGGUUCUCUCGGGGAACUGCCUUGGGCAUGUGCCUACAUCAUAUUAUAAUUUGUAUUUCGUUGUUAGCGUAACCUGAUAAUGUAAUGUAUGAUAAGUUUAACUGUGGUGAGAGAAUAAAUGGCCAUAACAGUAAAUCUAUGUAAACUGCACGCACUUAAAGUGUUAUUGACGAUAUUGAUUCUUGCAACAUCCUCCAUCCUCUGCUUAGCUUCAUUUAUAAGCACAUAUUCUUAAGGUUCUCUUUAUAAAAAACAUAACUGGUGCAUGGAGGAAGAUUAUUAACAUUACGUAUGUAAAGUUGCCACUCAGAAUUCCAUUUUAUUGUGACUUCACCUCUCACUCUUGAUGCAAAAAUCAUAAUGGUAACCUACUACUUAUGUCAUUGUGGAAGUUACGAAUUACGAUACUCAUCACAGAAUAUUGAUUUAUUUUACGGGGAGCGCUAUACACGAAGGAGGUCAUACAGUGCAAUGGGGAAUGGGAGUAAGCAGAUUAGCUCCAAGGAGAGGGAGAGUUGCUCCAGUUCUUUGGAUCAAGAAGCCUUCACCCACAUUAAGGCCCCUGAAGCUUGAACAAUUAUGGGGGCCCCUUCGCAACCCCUUCUUAUUCAGUAGACCCAAUUUUUUUAAGCAAUGUGAACUAAAGUCGCCUCUUGGGUCCACCUGGGAUUUGGGGCCCUGGAGCUUAAGCUUCAUUAGUUUUAUAGUAUAUCCGUCCCUGUGUUUAACUAGCGGUAUACAGGUGAAAUGUAGCCUUAAGAGGCACGGAAGUUCCCCCGUCAUCUUCAUUUUUGCACUAUAAUUAUAGUGGAAAAUGAACAUGUUAUUAGAAGACGGGGGUACUUAUGGGUCCCUUAAUAACCUUAAUAGUCUGUGGCCUCUUAUCCUAACAAACCAACUUUUCAUUCUGUGAGUAAACAUACCACUAUACAGUAAGCAUACCACUAUACAGUAAGCAUACCCCUAUACAGUAAGUAUACCACUAUACAGUAAGUAUACCACUAUACAGUAAGGACGGUAAUAUAUACAAUUAAUGAAUGCAAGUGUUGUAGCUGGCGUUGUUUCCACAUUCCCCAAGACGCUGUAUAAUUCCUAUGGGUUUAACACUCCCAUAAAAUAAAUUUUGUUAUAUGUAAAUUGCACUUCCUGGAGGGAGCCUCCAAGUUGAGGUGUGAAUGUGGCUCACUAAACUGACUUGUUUUAAACACAAGAAGGGUCAGAUGGCUAGCUAUAAUGUGUGCUCAACUACCCGUAAAUGCACUAAUACUACCUGGCCUCUAGCUUAGUCAAAGACUCAUGCAGACUUGUAUAAUGUUGUCCUCUUGUUCUAGCUAAACAUAACAUACAGUACACAUAGGCUACUGAGCUUUGGGUCGAAUUAUCAUAUCUGCACUUCCCUUCUGCUCUAAACAAUGACAAAGUGAAGCAUUUAAAAAUGCAUCACAUAGUGAAAUUAGGUAAAACAAUAUCGAAAAAUACGUGCAAGGAGUAUAUUUGAAAAUUAGAUUUAAUUAAGACUAGGUUCUUUGGUUGCGGUGUAUGCAUUCUGAUUUGUAUUCUGUUAACAUCAAAAUUUCAUUUACAAAAUUAUUCCCCUUUGUUACACAGAAUUAUGAAAUUAACUACCAUACAAAGUGAAACUUGUGAUAUGGUAAUUGUAGCAGCCUCUUCCAGCCUAUGAUAAAAUAGAGGCCUCAGACAACUGGCCGGCCCAAUUCAGUAUUGUAUCCAUAAUUAUCUAUUUACUUAUUACUAAUUACCUAAUUAUUGUAUGCUUAAUAAUCUACCCUGUUUAGCUCUUCCGGCUCCAUAUAGUUAUUGUACUGUACACAAUAGGCUCAAAACAACCACAUGGGAUGGAAAUUUUAGCUCAAGCUCUUUUUUUUACUCUGUGCAUCGUCAGGAACUAUGCAAUGUUGCAAGGCUAGCAACAGAUAGUAGGGGAAAAAUUCUCUGAGGCAAAACAGAAGUGUAAAAGCGUCAGGUCCAUGUCACAGUCUAGACUCGAGACUGUGACAUAGCCUCACGACUGUGACAUAGUUCCUGACGAUACACAGAGUACAGAUCUUGAGCUAAAGAUUUCCAUCCCCUGUUUCUUGUUCUGCAUUGCUGAGAUCACUUAUUGGCGACUGUAUUGCAAUACAAUAGGUUGUCUGUGUUUAUUGUUGCGGUAUUUAGUCUUUUCCAUUUGAUAUUAAUAAGGAUGCGAUGAGUGUAGCUGUAGAAACAUAGUGAUAUAGGAAGAACAUUCAUCAUGGGAUUUGUGCCAGUAGUAGGCCUGAGGUGUUGCUGUCACAAAUGGCCUACUUGUAUACUUAAGAUAAUUAUUCUUGUAUUGAUAUCCCUGUGAUCUCUGGGUGCAGGUACUCUCAAAGAAGUGGCAAUAUCACAUUACUUGAUUAUUAGUAUAUAUGAAUGACAGCUAUGUACUCAGUUGUGACUGCAGGAGUCAAAUGUCUGCUCCAUUGGUAUUAAGGACAUGUAUAUGUGUCAAUGUUGGGAGUAGCUCACCCAAUUGUGGCUGCAUGGGGUCGAUUCUGCUCUUGUGGUAUGGCUAAAGAGUGCCUCUCAGCCCAAGUGUUUUUUGUGUUUACAUAAGAUAUGUCCUGGUAUUACAACCCCGUGACUUGUCUAGUGGACUGCUUCAUGGGCCCGUCUCGCAGCCCUUCUCUUUGGAGGGGUCAAGGUGGGAAUGCCUAGGCCUAUCCUGGAAUGAACCUACCAGUCACAGGACAAGGUAAACAGCAUUCCAAGUAUCUGGUGUGUACUACGUACCUCUUGGCAGGCCAAGGCACGUAGGUGUGGUAUUCUUGGAUGACACUUUAUUUAAGUGGGGUCUCAAAGUCGCACCCUAACCAACUGAGUUCCACUUAAGUGAAACACAAGUGGUGUGACACAUGCAUAUAGCUGGACUUAAUACAAAGAUUGACUCUGAAAUUCUAGCUUAAGUAAAGUGCUUUUCUUGAGUACUACUCAUGUUUAUAUAUCGCAUGGUCCUGUGUUUGGCUUCUUAUUAAUUCCAUAUUUUAUUGCUAGAAUUGAUUUUACUCUUGUUUAUUCAUGAAGAGAAUACUGGCUGACGAGGACCAGGCCUGGGAAAUAUGCAUAAUAUUUAUGUACUGGACUAUGCCAGCCAUUCUGAAUGGCACACUUGUAAUCCAUUCACCUCACUAUUCCAUCACUACUCACACUUUCCUCGUUUGGCAUUAUUUUUCCCUCAACCCUAAUGCUUUUUCAACACUCACACUUUACUCACCUCACUCUUCUGACAUGUUUCAUGUUAACCUGUCAUCCCUUGUGUUGUCAGCUCACUACACAUGUUAACCAGCCUUGUGUUUUCACGACAAAAAUCUUCACUAUUAAAUUCUUGACACAUGUGCACAAACUCGCAAUAAAACAAUUACAACAAAUGCUGUAUAUUUCGGGUUCACAUCAACACCAUUUUCAUCAGACUCAAAAUGAUCUUUUUGAAAAUGGCCCUUUUUCCUUACACUAUAAAAAAAAUUCUUUGCAUUAAAUGCCUUUUUCUACGCACUGUAAACCAUGGAGGAGAGAUAACUUGAAGGUUAUAUGCAUGAGUUUAAGCAUAUCAGGCAAAGCAAAUUAUAUCACAUGUGCAAGAUAACAUAGGUUGUGGUCCUGACAAAGAUAGUGGUCCUAACAUAGGUCGUGGUCCUAACAUAGGUCGUGGUCCUAACAUAGGUCGUGGUCCUAGUAUAGGUCGUGGUCCUAACAAAGGUAGUGGUCCUAACAGAUGGGGGUCAUAACAUAGGUCGUGGUCCUAACAAAGAUAGUGGUCCUAACGUAGGUCGUGGUCAUAAAGACAGUGGUCCUAACACAGGUUGUGGUCCUGACGAAGGACUAGCAUAGGUCGUGGUCCUAAGGUAGUGGCCCUAACAUAGGUUGUGGUCCUAAAAGGUAGUGGUUCUAACACAGGUUGUGGUCCUAAGGUAGUGGUUCUAACACAGGUUGUGGUCCUAAGGUAGUGGUUCUAACAGGUUGUGGUCCUAAGGUAGUGGUUCUAACACAGGUUGUGGUCCUGACGAAGGACUAACAGAUCGUAGGCUUAACAAAGGACUACAAGAGGUUGAGGUGUGUGUAGUGAGAAUGGUUGGUGUGUCCAAGUUAGAGUUACAUAAGUCAAAGGAGAAUUUGCGUUACCAGAGUUGCAGUAUUAUAGUGUUGAGCAGCUAGUGAAGGGAAGGUCCUCUCUGGCAGCUAGUGAAGGGAAGGUCCUCUCUGGCAGCUAGUGAAGGGAAGGUCCUCUCUGGCAGCUAGUGAAGGGAAGGUCCUCUCUGGCAGCUAGUGAAGGGAAGGUCCUCUCUGGCAGCUAGUGAAGGGAAGGUCCUCUCUGGCAGCUAGUGAAGGGAAGGUCCUCUCUGGCAGCUAGUGAAGGGAAGGUCCUCUCUGGCAGCUAGUGAAGGGAAGGUCCUUUUGGCAGCUAGUGAAGGGAAGGUCCUCUCUGGCAGCUAGUGAAGGGAAGGUCCUCUCUGGCAGCUAGUGAAGGGAAGGUCCUCUCUGGCAGCUAGUGAAGGGAAGGUCCUCUCUGGCACCUGAGGCCACUUACCUUCUCAAGUGCUUCUGCACUUUACCACACUUACAAUUUCUAAAUGCAACUCGUUUUUCAGUUCUUCAAUGCGCCUUAAAAUUCACAUUUUGCAAGGUUAAGCCUUCAGUUCGUGUGACGAUUCACUUAAUUAUAUCAUGUAACAUUAACAGGAAAAAAUAACAAUUACAGAAACUGAAUAUUUCAGCCUGCAUCUGAGGCCUAAUUUUGUGUACAACCACCAUCAUAUAUGUCUGAAAUUCCCCUGACAAAUUCAAAAUAAAGUAUUCUCAGCAGUUACAAAAGUACCCACAGCUGUCGAUUUUUUUAAUUACUUUUUAUUUAUGUAUAUGUGUGGAGACACAGUUGACAUUAAGUCUAUUAUUUACCCAGUAACUUACAUUUUCCCAAACUAAACUUGUCACUGCAAAACUGUCACUAAUUCUGCCACAAAUAUAGCGAGAGAUGAGAUGAUAUGUAAAUUUUGGUCAAGUUUUCAGAGAGAAGAUAUAUUCUACCAUUGUUUAUUUGGUAAAGAGAAAUAUAUAUAUGAAUUAUCCAGCGGGGUAUAAGAAAUAUUUGUUGCCUUAAUAAGUUAGUUUAAGUUUAAUAUUGAUCCGGGAGUAAGUGCCUUAAUAGGGUAUUUUUUUUUGACCUUGAGACAAAGUUCUGAGUCAGACAAACAACCCAAUAAUUUAAUUAAAUAAAUUUUACUACCAAUCAAAUGUCAAUAAUGUUCAGAGUUCAAUUAUAAUAAUUAGUAAGCUUAAUUGCUGACUCUGAAUUGUGUUUUAGCAGGUUGUUAUAUGAAGCAUGAGUCAGUAUUAACAUAGUGUGACACAAGCAGUAAUUGUACUUAAUAAACUCGCCUUAUCUCAGCUUUGUUGUUAAAUAAACAGUAGUGAAAAA